UACAGAGGUCUCGAGCGUUUUUCGGAUUCAUUGGGCGUAAAGGGUGCGCAGGCGGUGUGGCAAGUCUGGUGUGAAAGCUUGGGGCUCAACCCCAAAAUUGCAUUGGAUACUGCCAUGCUUGAGGACUGUAGAGGAGAGUGGAAUUCACGGUGUAGCAGUGAAAUGCGUAGAUAUCGUGAGGAAGACCAGUUGCGAAAGCGACUCUCUGGGCAGUUCCUGACGCUCAUGCACGAAGGCCAGGGGAGCAAACGGG
rnacentral:rRNA from 1 species